GAGAGUGUGGUACGAUGAGGUGGUGUUUCAUGGUGACACAUAUAUAAAGAGGGAAUUCCUUUUUUUUCAGAUUUACUACUCUUCAAAUGCUUGAUUUUUAGAUAUCUCUCAAUCACCAACAUUAUACCAGAAAUUGAAUUGGUGAUUGGAAUUUCAGGUUAGGGUUUGGGAGUUUGGGGUGGGGGAUUUACCUGUGACCCUCGGGUCUAGAGGAAGCUUCAGGGAGGCUCGCCGGCUGGCGGUGGAGGUUGGAGAGACGGUAGUGGAGCGGAGGCGGCAUGCGCGCUACCGGAGCAGGGCGGUGGAGGAUCCCCGGUGGGUGGCAGAUGCGGCAGGGGAGUAUGAGCCAAGCAGAUUAGCAUUGGGUGGCAGAGGUCAGCGAUGGCGGAGGUGGUCGAGGCCGCCGGAGCCGAGCGGGAGGUCAGCGGCAGCGGGGUAGUUGCGUGGCUCUGCGCGAGGUAGACACUGGGAGGAAGACGUACGGGAGAAAUAGAAAGAAUAGAGAAGGAAAGAAAGGGUGGAUAUGUACCCUUGGAUGUAGAUCCAACAGUUUUAGGGAGUGAUUGAGAGAAAAGCAAAUCUCAAAUGUGUGGCAAGGAGUUUUUUUUAUAAACUAAAUUCUGUUAUCAUUGGAGGCACAGUUUGGUCAUGGUGCAUGUGCACAUUGGUCAGUCAUGCACGAAACAGAUUGAUGCAGCGCAACAGUUAGGGUUGUCUCCUGAAAAAGAAAUAUCAGUCCUGAAUUGACAGUUGGAGGCAACUAGCUUCCCAAUCACAAAUUCACACAUGUAAAAAGAUGUUAACUGUGUGGUGUGAUGAAUCACAGUUUAAUUCACA
rnacentral:lncRNA from 1 species